GUAUAAAUUGUGGAUGAACACAUAACUUGUCUGCUCUCCUGGUCAAGGGCGUACCCAUAAAUUCUGUCUGGGCAGCUGGCUUGCUCUGCAUCAGUUAUUAGCAUCUUAACCAUGCCUCUGAAGUGGCCAUGAGACAUGAGCUCUGCAACACAUAAACCUCUGAAGGGGUUACAUCCUAACCUCAGACCAUCUUGCUACAGCCUGCCCCCAGCUGCCAGUGACACUACUACACAACCCAUCAUACGCCGGAACACAGGAAAGCUUCUCACAUCCUUGUCAAGAUAGACGGCAACUCCACGACCAGAAACCAAGCUGCUGGCGUCCUUAUCACCAGCACAACACAAUCUAUUCUCCCGGCCGGCGCUUGAUUCUUUUUCCCUCAUGCAGAGGCCAGGUGAUCUGAUCCCGAUCACAUCGCCUAAAGAAGCUCGCGUGUGCGAUGAGCCGAUGAGUGAUGAGGAGUACGAGCGUGUUUGCUGCGCAAUUCAAAGAGCCUGCCGAUGUUGUUGGAGCACCGGGCCGGGCCGGGCCCCAUUCCGGCGGAGGCAAUGAAUAGGGGUGAAUGGACGGACGGGUACUUGGCCUUAAAAGUGACGCCAGCGACCUCGUCGUCGUGUUGACAGGACGCGCGCGCAUGUGGCUCCUCUGACAACGAAGCUUCUCUGCCUGCCGUGGAUUCAGGGGUGUGUGUCCACUGCCUCCUGUUGCUGUUGUGUUGUGGUGCCACGACGAGUUCUUGAUCUGGGACUGCGAUCUCAUUGCCACAAGAUUUGAUCGAGAGCUCCUGCUGCUUUUUUCCACUUCCAAGGAUCCUCCCAUUGUGGUGGUGCUCCGUUCGGCUACUGAAUGUCCAUCAUAAUAAAAUUCUCCUUUGAGAUUUAUCACCUCCACCAGAAAUCCUAUGAGAGCUUCUUGGAUUGUCAAAAGCCUCUCCUUAUCCAUGAGUUCUUCUCUAAUCCGCAACAUCUGUAAUUUGGAAAUAUGUGAAUGUUACAUGAACAAUUAAAUAUAAAGAGCUAGAAAAUAAUUAAUUA